UAAUGCCACUUGGCCAUAUUUGCUUGGAAAUCUGGGCUCCACUAAUUGACCCGAACCUGCAGACCUAAGAGCCCUACUGGGUUUACAUUCAAUUAGCAUUUCUUGAAUGUAUGAGGCUCUGUUCACCCCACCAAGCACAACCCACUGUGCCGUAAGCCAAGACUAGUACAUCUUUG